AAAAAGUUUGAUUUUGGCUUAAGAAUUUAUUUUAUAAAUUUUUUACAUGUAAAUUUUUGUAUGUUAAUUAAAUUAUUUAAAAAAUAAUUUAAUUUAAAAAUUUUAAUUGCAGUAUUUAAUUUUAAUAAUUAAAGAAAUUUAGAAUUAUAAUUUAUAUAAAUAUAAAUAAAAAAUGUGCCAGCAAUUGCGGUUAUACAUUUUAUAUAAGUAAAUUUUGUCUAUUAAAUUAAUUUAUUUUUGGAUAAUGGUUUUAAAUUAUAAUAAAUUAAGUGAAAUUUUUUAUUUUAAAAAUUAAUAUUAAAAAAAAUUAUUAAGAAAUUUUAAGAUUAAACUAGGAUUAGAUACCCUAUUAUUUUAUAAUUUAAAAUGUUAAUGUAAAGUAUUAUAAGUUAUGUUCUUUAAACUUAAAAAAAUUGGCGGUAUUUAAAUCUAAUUAGGGGAAUUUGUCUUUUAAAUGAUAAUCCUCAAGAUACCUUACUUUAUUAAAAAAUUUAUUUAUUGUCGUUAACAGAUUAUUUUAUAAGAAAAAAAAUUUUCUAAAUUAUUAAUUUAAAUAAUUAUUUCAGAUCUUUAUGUAGUUUAUGAUAAAGUUAAGAUGAAUUACAAUAAAAUUUAUUUAAAUGGAUAUUAUAAUGAAAUUUAUAAUUGAAAGUGGACUUAAUAGUAAUUUUAAAUAUUAAAUUAUUUUGAAUUAAGAAUUAAAUAUGUACAUAUCGCCCGUCACUCUCGUUAAUUAAAAUAAGAUGAGAUAAGUCGUAACAAAGUAGAUGUACUGGAAAGUGUUUCUAGAAAGUAUU
rnacentral:ncRNA from 1 species